rnacentral:lncRNA from 1 species
UGGGGGGUGGGGCUGGCCUACUUCGUCCGCCGGACUCGGAAUGCCGCAAGACUUUGCGAGGGGCCUCCGUUUGCCAAAAAUAGGCCGCGGGAAAAGCCGCGCCCAAAAAUAACCGCCCGAAGGCCGGGGCGCCAAGUUCGUCCAGCGGAAAAAGGCCACAAAAACGGGUGGGCUAUAGCCUUGGGGGGUAGGUCUGGCCCACUUCGUCCGCCGGACUCGGAAUGCCGUGAGACUUUGCGAGGGGCCUCCGUGUGCCAAAAAUAAGCCGCGGGCAAAGCCGCGCCCGAAAAUAACCGUCCGAAGGCCGGCGCGCCAAGUUCGUCCAGCGGAAAAAGGCCACAAAAACGGGUGGGUUAUAGCCUUGGGGGGUGGGGCUGGCCAACUUCGUCCGCCGGACUCGGAAUGCCGCGAGACUUUGUGAGGGGCCUCCGUGUGCCAAAAAUAGGAUGCGGACAAAGCUGCGCCUGAAAAUAACCAUGCGAAGGCUGGGGCGCCAAGUUCGUCCAGCGGAAAAAGGCCACAAAAACGGGUGGGCUAUAGCCUUGGGGGUUGGGGCUGGCCUACUUCGUCCGCCGGACUCGGAAUGCCGCGAUAAUUUGCGAGGGGCCUCCGUGUGCCAAAAAUAGGCCGCGGGCAAAGUCGCGCCCAAAAAUAACCGCCCGAAGGCCGGGGCGCCAAGUUCGUCCAGCGGAAAAAGGCCACAAAAACAGGUGGGCUAUAGCCUGGUGGGGUGGGGCCGGCCAACUUUGUCCGCCGGACUCGGUAUGCCGCGAGACUUUACGAGGGGCCUCCAUGUGCCAAAAAUAGGCCGCGGACAAAGCCGUGCCCAAAAAUAACCGCCCGAAGACCGGGGCACCAAGUUCGUCCAGCGGAAAAAGGCCAUAAAAACGGGCUAUAGGCUUGGGGGGUGAGGCUGGCCAACUUCGUACGCCGGACUCGGAAUGCCGUAAGACAUUGUGAGAGGCCUCCGUGUGCCAAAAAUAGGCCGCGGCCAAAGCCGCACCCAAAAAUAACCGCCCGAAGGCAGGUGUGCCAAGUUCGUCCAGCGGAAAACGGCCACAAAAACGGGUGGGCUAUAGCCUUGGGGCGGGGGGCUGGCCAAAUUCGUCCGCCGUACUCGGAAUGCCGCGAGACUUUGCGAGGGGUCUCCGUGUGCUAAAAAUAGGCUGCGGGCAAAGCCGCACCCAAAAAUAACCGCCCGAAGGCCGGGGCGCCAAGUUCAUCCAGCGGAAAAAGGCCACAAAAACGGGUGGACUAUAGCCUUGGGGGGUGGGGCUGGCCCACUUCGUCCGCCGGACUCGGAAUACCGCGAGACAUUGCGAGGGGCCUCCGUGUGCCAAAAAUAGGCCACGGGAAAAGGCGCGCCCAAAAAUAACCGCCCGAAGGCCGGGGCGCCAAGUUCGUCCGGCGGAAAAAGGCCACAAAAACGGGUGGGCUAUAGCCUUGGGGGGUGGGGCUGGCAACUUCGUCCGCCGGACUCAGAAUGCCGUGAGACUUUGCGAGGGGCCUCCAUGUGAUAAAAAUAGGCUGCGGGUAAAGCCGCGCCCGAAGGCCGGGGCUCCAAGUACGUCCAGCGGAAAAAGGCCA